AUUUGUUGAAGAGAUUAUCUUUUCUCCAUUGUCGUACCUUUGUGAUUCAUCAAGAUCAGUUCACUGUAGCUAUUCUUUAUCAAGUUGAGGGAGUUCCCCUCUAUUCCUAACUUGCUGAGAGUUUUUUUUUUUUAUCAAGAAUGAAUGUUGAACUUUGUCAAAGAUUUUUUUCUGUAUGCGUUGAUAUAAUCAUGUGGGUUUUUUUCUUCUUUAGCUGCUGAUGUAAUGGAUUGCAUUAAUGGAUAUCCAAAUGUUAACCAACCUUGCAUAACUGGGAUUAAUCUCACAUAGUCUUGACCAGGAUAGGUGGGCAGCAGAACAGUGUGGUCCUGCAGAAGCUGAAGCCUGACACUCUUUACACCAUCACCCUGUCCUCCCUGUGUUGUGAUGUGGAAGGAGGUCGGAUGACAGGAAGAGGCGAGACCAGAUAACACAGACAAAUGAACAAACUAUGCUCUGAGGCCAAGAUACCUUGUGGAGGGAUGAGACAUGUACCUGAUGAUCACAUUUUUUCCUUUAUUCACUACUUCAACAGAACCUUUGAAUACCGUGAGGAACCUCGGUGUACGACCCUUCCACCAGCACUUUGAAUGUUCGCUGGGAGCACACAGGGCAAAAUCCUCAUCAGUACAAGCUCUUCUGUGCACCCACAGCAGGUGCCAAUCCCUGGGAAUACCAGUGAUGCCGUUCUUAGGAAUCUGCAGCCGGGUGCCCCAGACACCGUUACAGUGGUUCCCCUUUAUCCUGAGGGCGAUGGAGGGCAUACACCAGACACUGGAAGGACAUGGAAUGGUGAGAGGACUGGCCAGAAAUGUCCAAGUGUACAAUCCACCGAACAGCGGGGACGUCGGCUGGACCCUUCCCCUGGCCGGUGCAGCAGCGCCGCGUGUGUGCGCUGCCCUGGCUGGCACGAGGCCCCCGGAACCUGUAAGUACUGUUGUCGGCUCAGAGCUGGCAGAAGAAUUUUGUAGAUUUUACGGCGCCUCCUGCUGUGGUUGCUGGUGCAGGGCAGUAGAUGAGUUGGUG